UGGACAGUACUGACGCUGAGAUGCGAAGCGUGGGGAGCAAACAGGAUUAGAUACCUGGUAGUCCACGCUGUAAACGAUGUCGAUUUGGAGUUUGUUGCCUAGAGUGAUGGGCUCCGAAGCUAACGCGAUAAAUCGACCGCCUGGGGAGUACGGCCGCAAGGUUAAAACUCAAAUGAAUUGACGGGGGCCCGCACAAGCGGUGGAGCAUGUGGUUUAAUUCGAUGCAACGCGAAGAACCUUACCUGGUCUUGACAUCCAUAGAAUUCUGCAGAGAUGUGGGAGUGCCUUCGGGAACUAUGAGACAGGUGCUGCAUGGCUGUCGUCAGCUCGUGUUGUGAAAUGUUGGGUUAAGUCCCGCAACGAGCGCAACCCUUAUUCUUUGUUGCCAGCGAUUUGGUCGGGAACUCAAAGGAGACUGCCGUUGAUAAAGCGGAGGAAGGUGGGGACGACGUCAAGUCAUCAUGGCCCUUACGACCAGGGCUACACACGUGCUACAAUGGCGUAUACAAAGGGAAGCGAAGGUGCGAGCUGGAGCGGAUCUCAUAAAGUACGUCUAAGUUCGGAUUGGAGUCUGCAACUCGACUCCAUGAAGUCGGAAUCGCUAGUAAUCGUAGAUCAGAAUGCUACGGUGAAUACGUUCCCGGGCCUUGUACACACCGCCCGUCACACCAUGGGAGUGGGUUGCACCAGAAGUAGAUAGCUUAACCGCGAGGGGGGCGUUUACCACGGUGUGAUUCAUGACUGGGGUGAAGUCGUAACAAGGUAACCA
rnacentral:rRNA from 1 species